UAAGUCUCGGGGUCGCACCUGGAGAAUUCCCAGGACUCUACCAGUUUCGGCUAUGGGAGGGAGAGUCAAGCAGAGGCCUGUCCAUUCCAUUCCUAGCUUGAGCUGUAGCCAGCAAGUGGAAGACAAUCUGCUACAAGG